UACGAAGGGGGCUAGCAUUGCUCGGAAUCACUGGGCGUAAAGGGUGCGUAGGCGGGUCUUUAAGUCAGGGGUGAAAUCCUGGAGCUCAACUCCAGAACUGCCUUUGAUACUGAGGAUCUUGAGUUCGGGAGAGGUGAGUGGAACUGCGAGUGUAGAGGUGAAAUUCGUAGAUAUUCGCAAGAACACCAGUGGCGAAGGCGGCUUACUGGUCCGGUUCUGACGCUGAGGCGCGAAAGCGUGGGGAGCAAACAGG
rnacentral:rRNA from 1 species